rnacentral:rRNA from 1 species
AAACAUGGCUGAAAGUAAAUGUUUUUGGUCUAAUCUGCUCAAUGCAGUCAAUAGCUGCAGUAUUUUGACUGUACAAAGGUAGCAUAAUCAUUAGUUUUUUAAUUGAAAACUUGUAUGAACGAUUGGAUGAAAAAUUUUUAUUUAUAGUGAAUUUUUUUUUUAAGUAAGAAAUCUUAAUUGAUAAAAAGGGACGAGAAGACCCUAUAGAAUUUUAUAUUAUGUUAUAUUUAUUGGGGUGAUUUUAUUAACAUUAUUUUCAUUUUUAUGUGUAAUGAUCUUUAUUUAGAUACAAAGAAAAAAUUACCUUAGGGAUAACAGCAUAAUUUUUAUUUAGAGUUCUAAUUUAAAUAAAAGAUUAUGACCUCGAUGUUGAAUUAAAAAUUGUUUAUGAGUAGAAAUUAGGCA